rnacentral:misc_RNA from 1 species
UGUGUGUGUGUGUGUGUGUGUCUUAAACUAUGACUAUGAGUAGUUUAUUUUUAUUUUAAUUUGGAUUGCAAACUUAUUAUUACUUGAAUGGUAGUUAUUAUUAUGUUUACCUUUAUGUUAUUUGAAGUUAUCUCAUUUAUUUAUUUUUUACGCUUUGCCUCACUUAGGCCCGCGACUUGCGCCUAGGCCCUAAGAGCCUUGGAGCCUUGAUGAGCCUUGGCCCUUAAAUAACUAUGCAUUAAACAUAGAACAUUUGAAAACAUCAAUUCCAAACUUCAUCUAUCAUCCCUCAUCUUGAAUAAUCCCCUACAACCAAACUAACUACUAACAACAGCCGCCAACAUGGAAACUAAAUGUGAUAGCAAGCAAUCUUUACUGUCAUGAUCCUAUAGUUUGAAAUGAACCUUUGGAGGCACCAAAACUCCCCCCAAGUUUAGGCCAGCCUAACUCCAACAAAGGCAAAAUAUCAUCCAACCUUACAGAUUUAUCCUGAUAUUAGAAGAUCAAGUGAACACAAAUAUCUAUCAUAGUUCAAUGUAAACCCUUAUUAUGUCUAACCAAACAUAGGAUUCAUCAAGUGUUAUUCAAGCCCAAGUAAGAACUCCAUAGUAGACCUAGUCCAGUUCCUGGAAUUCAGGACUCAGAACCAAACCUCAAGUCCCCCAGUUUCAAUUCAAUCUGGUUUGAGCCAAUCCAACAGUUAAAAAAUUUUUUUCUUUUGAGAAAAAAUGCUGUUUGAAACAGACAGGACCAGCCCAGUUCCAGUCUAGCUCAAAGGAGAGAAAAAUGGUUUUUGACCCAGGUUAGACCAGGCCAGUUAUGGGCCCAAACCAAAAUGUGGUUGGGUCCACUCCACAGAUCUUUUAUACCACAUUGCACGAAUCUGGCUAACUUCAGAAUCAAAUAGAGGGA